rnacentral:lncRNA from 1 species
CGGGAGGAUGGCCGGGUCGCUUCCUGGGUAGGACUCAGUCUCCAGCUGCUGGACUCCACUGGACAUGGCCUCUGAUUUCUCUGAGCUUCCGUCUCCAGCUGGGUAAAGGAGAUAACCAGCUUUGCAAUACUCAUCUUGUGCGAUUCUGGUGGAAAUUAAGCCAGGUGUUACCCAUCUCUAAGCCAGGGGUCAUUUUACGAAUAUCAUGUCUGUGAAAACCUGGGAUCCUGAGGUCCAGGCUUCCCUGAUUCUAGCCGAGGGAAUGAGGGAGCCAGAUUCCCUUUGAGUUAAAUGUCCCUUUUUCAUGACCCCAAGCGAUUCAGCUGGGAGGAGCCCCCACUUCGCCGAGCCUCCUGAGCCGCUGGCCCUUCACAGAGGCAUUUGGAGGGGAGCAGAGUGAUGUGUCCUUGUCGUCAGGGGUGGCUCCUGGCACCAGCAGUGCUCCUUGGGUUCUUUCCUACAGCUGGCCUUGGCUGAGGAAGCUCUAGCGCACCUCCUGUGCUCACUGUGGACCUUGAUGAGACUUAGUCUCCUCAUCUGUGGAAUGGGGCUGUUUGUUCCCAUCUCAGUGCUGUGAGACACUCGGUGCAUGCAGUGCUCUGAGUGGUCCCUGGCACAGAGAGAGUGACGGUAGUUUCCAGGUGGCUGCGCUACACUCCCUCUCAGGAUCGUGCCUGGAGAUCACUGAUUUCUGCCUUGUGCUUUGUUUCCAGGACUGUGUUCCCCUCCUGCUCUCUUGAGUUGUGGGGUUUGAAGAACACACUGAAUUCUGUUUAAGCCCCUUGGCACGGAAGACUCUGAGUGGGUGGUGGCAGGAGGACUUGAGGUGUCGGGGCAUCGGGACAGGUUGCAAACUGCCAGGUACAGGAGUCCAAGAACACCUCCAGCAGAGGCCACAGUGGUGUGUGCAGUAUCGCCGCCUAAGAAACCUGGCCGCCAUCCCCGACCACCCCCUUCAGAGUCUCAGAUGUGGGCUACAUCUGUGGAUUGAGAUGAAAAAUCUGCAUAUCUGGUGGGCCUUG